rfam:Vibrio angustum S14 1099604003226 genomic scaffold, whole genome shotgun sequence.
AAGCACAUGAGGAGCUAUAACCUUAGGGCGGUAGCAUU